rnacentral:rRNA from 1 species
GGAUCAUUAAAGAGUUUAAUAAAACUCCUAAACCCCUGUGAACUUACUGGUGUUUGGCUCGCCAGAUAUAGUCUGGUCCGUAAGCAAAUCGACUGCCUGCCUGUGUAACAGGCAGGUAAGCUUUUGUCGCGGGGUCCCGGAUCAACCCGGGCUAGAUAGCCACUUAACUAUAUACUUUUUAUAAAAUCUGUGAACUUACUAUGUUGGAUUCUCGCCAGAGAUAGUCUGGUUUCUGCCACGCAGAUCGACUGCCUGCUUGUGACACCUGUCACAGGUAGGUAAGCUUUUGCCGCGGGUCCGCAUGUAAAUCGUCUGUUUCACAAGGGACGGCGAUUUACUUGUGGAAGAGGUCCGCUAACUAUAUUCUUAGUAUAGUUUGUUCACUAGAUCAAACAUUCUGAAUAAAAACUUAAACUAGUUAAAACUUUCAACAACGGAUCUCUUGGUUCUGGCAUCGAUGAAGAACGCAGCGAAAUGCGAUAAGUAAUGUGAAUUGCAGAAUUUAGUGAAUCAUCGAAUCUUUGAACGCACAUUGCGCCCAUUAGUAUUCUAGUGGGCAUGCCUGUUCGAGCGUCAUUUCAACCCUUAAGCCCCUGUUGCUUAGCGUUGGGAGCCUACAGCCUGCUGCAGCUCCUUAAAGGUAGUGGCGGAGUCGGUUCACACUCUAGACGUAGUAAAAUCUUUAUCUCGUCUAUGGAUGAGCCGGCGCCUUGCCGUAAAACCCCUAAUCUUUCACAAGGUUGACCUCGGAUCAGGUAGGAAUACCCGCUGAACUUAAGCAUAUCAAUAAGCGGAGGAAAAGAAACCAACAGGGAUUGCCCUAGUAACGGCGAGUGAAGCGGCAACAGCUCAAAUUUGAAAUCUGGCCUUCGGGUCCGAGUUGUAAUUUGCAGAGGAUGCUUUGGGCGCGGUGCCUUCCGAGUUCCCUGGAACGGGACGCCUUAGAGGGUGAGAGCCCCGUACGGUUGGACACCAAGCCUCUGUAAAGCUCCUUCGACGAGUCGAGUAGUUUGGGAAUGCUGCUCUAAAUGGGAGGUAAAUUUCUUCUAAAGCUAAAUAUUGGCCAGAGACCGAUAGCGCACAAGUAGAGUGAUCGAAAGAUGAAAAGCACUUUGAAAAGAGGGUUAAAUAGCACGUGAAAUUGUUGAAAGGGAAGCGUUUGCGACCAGACCUUUUCCCAGCGGAUCAUCCGGUGUUCUCACCGGUGCACUUCGCUGGGUUGAGGCCAGCAUCGGUUUCCGCAGGGGGAUAAAAGCCUGGGGAACGUAGCUCCCUCGGGAGUGUUAUAGCCCCUCGCAUAAUACCCUUGCGGGGACCGAGGACCGCGCU